rnacentral:piRNA from 1 species
CUUAGCCAAUUGUAUUUGUACCU